rnacentral:rRNA from 1 species
AUUGAACGCUGGCGGCCGGCCUAACACAUGCAAGUCGAGCUGAGCGGCGGACGGGUGAGUAAUGCCUAGGCAUCUGCCUGGUAGUGGGGGAUAACGUCCGGAAACGGGCGCUAAUCCCGCAUACUAUCAGAUGAGCCUAGGUCGGAUUAGCUAGUUGGUGGGGGAAAGGCCUACAAAGGCGACCAUCCGUAACUGGUCUGAGAGGAUGAUUAGUCACACUGGAACUGAGAACGGGUCCAGACUGCUACGGGAGGCAGCAGUGGGGAAUAUGGGACAAUGGGCGCAAGCCUGAUACAGGUAUGCCGCGUGUGUGAAGAAGGUCUUCGGAUUGUAAAGCACUUUAAGUUGGGAGGCGUUAACAACAGAAUAAGCACCGGCUAACGGCGUGCCAGCAGCCGCGGUAAUUC